UUACAGGAAAUUUGGUCUUCAGCUCCCGUAGGUCUUUUCCUGAUGAUUUUGAUGAUACUGAGUUUCCUUGCCCAUUUGAUGUGGAUGAUGAUGAUGUGACAGAUCCAGGCAGCAGAGUAGCUGUCAAAAGCCUAAGGAUUCAGUUCGAGAACCUCAGUAAUAUAGUGCACCUUUUCAAAGGCUUGAUGGACAUCACCUUCGUUACAUAUUCAAGGGGCUAUUUUGGCAUUAUCAACCCCCUUCAAUGUUGAUCAGAGAUAUUAGCGUUUGCAGCGUGAUGGCUUGGUCUUUAGGUGUUAGAAGUCAAUGAUUCAUUUGCAAGCAGAUACACAACAACUGAGAAGAGGCAGUUGUGGCACCCAAUCCCUGGGUUUCGGAAAGAAAUGGAAUGGAGUAUGGAGAUGAUGCUGAAGACGAAUCUGAGAACUCGGAAAAGGCUUUGACAACAAACUUGCAUAUGGACUAAUGUGCAACCAUCUUCUGAAGAUGAAGACGUCUGCCCUACAUAUCUGGAUGAAUACACCAAAAAAAUCCAAAAGUCAAACGACAUGUCCUGUCCUCAUCAUUUUCAACUUGGUUGCAAUAAUAAAUGGUUGGCAAAAAACGAAAGAUGGCCAAUUUGUGGAAGGAUGCAGGUGGAAGGAUUUGGCAGAAUCAGAUGUUUAUGACGAGAACAGAAGAGUUGCCACAAUGCUUGAGGUUGCCAACGCCAAGAGUUGUAGCUGGUUCAACCCGAAGAAGGGUUAAUUUUUUUACAAAAUAAGUUCCAAUUCCUUAGUGGUUUGGCUUUACAGUAAAUACCAAAUGAAUUUUUCAUGUGGUAGAUUUUUUUAAUGGAAUUCAUUAACUUGGUAGAUUUAUGUUUGUAGAAUACAUAUGAAUUUUCAUGGUUAUCAAUCGUUCAAUACCUCUAUAUGGUUACAGAGGGUUGAAGGUAAUCUCUAUACAUUUUGUAAAUAGCACUCCCUAGCUAUGGCAAAUCAGCAUUCUCAAUUUUCUCAUGUAAUAUAUGUAUAUAAACACUAUUCUUUAUCACAUACUUUUUCAAAAU